rnacentral:siRNA from 1 species
ACCCUAGAAACAUUUAGAUGAUGG